UCGAAAAAAUGUUUCAAAAUAACGUCGGAUGAUCCAACGUUUUAAUUUUUUAGAAGAAAACGCUAGAUGGUUUUAUGUUUUGGUCUAAGAAACCCUUAAAAUAUAACACGAUCUGACGUUUUUGGAAUAAAACGUUAAACACUAGAUCAAGCAUUUUAGAUUGUAAAGUGAUAGAUUUGGGUCAUCUUUCCCGUCACCAAUAUUUAACGUCAUUUUCUUCAAUUUUUUGACAUCCGAGAUGGUGAAGUGAUUUAAGGAGAGACAGUAAUUUAACAAAAAUUAUCCUGCACAUGAUAUGCAUGCAGUCACCUGACUAGCUUCACUAUAAAAGCAGCACAACUCUGUCCUUGCUUCCCACCAACGCAGAUAUAUCACCUGCCUGCACUGCCCAUUUCUGUGUGAGAGCCUUGAAGAAUGAAGAGGAUACUUUAUCUAGUGUUUGUUCUCCCAUUGUUGAUAACCAUGUUGAUGAACUCUGGCAUGUCCAUGAACGUGAAGUCACUGAUGGCAGAAAUGAAUCUCCACGACAUCGAGGUGCGGAAACUAUCUGCUGUUGCAGGGAGCAACUCUGAGCAUCCUGGUGUGAACAGUGAUGUGAACAACCACCAUUUUAUUCCGAGGCAGGACUAUGGGAAAUAUGGUGGUGGAACUCCCAGUGGAGGACCUGAUGAUAACAGUGAUAAGUCACAAGAGAAGAAUUAGGUUUUGUGUAUUGUUGAACUUCUAAAGUCAUAUGAGCAAUAAGUUGUUUCAGUUGUUAAUGAAUAGUGUUUAGUUUGAGACUUUGAGUAAAUCUGUAAAUGUGGUAUGUGUAAUUGAGCAUGCAGUGUGCUUAUACUAUGUGAUAUUGUACUUGUAAACUAAAGGAUAUGGAUAUGUUUAAUAUGUA